AGGGUGGCAUAGACGGCGAGCCCAGGGAGGCCACUGACAUGCAUUCAAGAGAAAAGAAAAGAAGCCAGGCUUUGGUCAGUUGUGAAUAUACCAUCUCCUGACUCCCAAGCAUUGGUUCAUCAUCCAGCUGGCAAUUGUUGAGCCUCAGCCAAUGGUGGAACCAAAAUCUAGUAUCUCUGGAGUAAUUUCCAUUUCCAACAGAAGGAGAGUGACUUUCACUGACUCUUACUCUCCAUUUGGAUUUCAGGCAUAAGUGCUUCAUGGUGGAGUGAGAAUGGCUUGCCCUGGAAGGGUCAUGUUUUAGAAGGAGUGAUCUUCAUUGUGAAGUCUAAACUGUUCUGGAAAUAUAAGCUUUGAAACCCAGUACUGAAUUCUCACAGGAAGUCUCAGACGAAGACACUGCUAACUCCACUUUCAGAGAGAAACACUGAGGCUCAGAGCUAAACUAACUCGCCUCAGAGCCCACAUCCUGGACUUGAGCCUCAGGGUGUUGCAUGCCAAAGCCUGUCCUCUUCACCCCAGCUUCCUGGGCAUUGGAGCGGAUCCAUAGUGUUAGAUAUGCAGUGGGAAUGGCCCCCAUUCCAAGCCACUUCCUGACCUGAUGGCAGCACCCUGCUAGUCCUCACAUGGAGCCCUGGAGAAGCCGGGUUCCUUAACCCAGAUUUGAAUCAAUAGCCUCACACCUGGUAUGCACAUCCAGGCCAAGUGUGGCUGAAUGGGGAGCAUCUGUUCUGGAGACGGCCACCCUCAUGGGCUCCUCUGCUUCCUGUCCCUUCGGGCACUGAUUUAUGGCACACAGCAGGGAAGGGCCUGAGCUUGAGCCCUGACCAUCGUUAUCAUCACCAUCUUCAUUCCAGUGCAGUGAAGAACAUUCUGAAG
rnacentral:lncRNA from 1 species